rnacentral:rRNA from 1 species
GACGAACGCUGGCGGCGUGCUUAACACAUGCAAGUCGAACGGAAAGGCCCUGCUUUUGUGGGGUGCUCGAGUGGCGAACGGGUGAGUAACACGUGAGUAACCUGCCCUUGACUUUGGGAUAACUUCAGGAAACUGGGGCUAAUACCGGAUAGGAGCUCCUGCUGCAUGGUGGGGGUUGGAAAGUUUCGGCGGUUGGGGAUGGACUCGCGGCUUAUCAGCUUGUUGGUGGGGUAGUGGCUUACCAAGGCUUUGACGGGUAGCCGGCCUGAGAGGGUGACCGGCCACAUUGGGACUGAGAUACGGCCCAGACUCCUACGGGAGGCAGCAGUGGGGAAUAUGGCACAGUGGGCGGAAGCCUGAUGCAGCAACGCCGCGUGCGGGAUGACGGCCUUCGGGUGGUAAACCGCUUUCGCCUGUGACGAAGCGUGAGUGACGGUAAUGGGUAAAGAAGCACCGGCUAACUACGUG